rnacentral:rRNA from 1 species
CCUACGGGAGGCAGCAGUGAGGAAUAUUGGUCAAUGGGCGGGAGCCUGAACCAGCCAUGCCGCGUGAAGGCGAGUGCCCUACGGGCGUGUAACUUCUUUUUUGCGGGGGCAAUAAGGGCCACGUGUGGCCAGACGAGAGUACCGUACGAAUAAACAUCGGCUAACUCCGUGCCAACAACCGGGGUAAUAAGGGGGAUGCAAGCGGUAUCCGGGUUUAUUGGGUUUAAAGGGUACGUAGGCUGGGAGGUAAGUCAGCGGUGAAAUGCCCCCGCUCAACGGGGUGAAGUGCCAUUGAUACUGCCUUGCUGGAAUGCGGAUGAGGUGGGAGGAAUGUGUGGUGUAGCGGUGAAAUGCAUAGAUAUCACACAGAACACCGAUUGCGAAGGCAUCUCACGAAUCCGCGAUUGACGCUGAUGCACGAAAGCGUGGGUAUCAAACAGGAUUAGAUACCCUAGUAGUC